GCGGGAAUAGCUCAGCUGGCUAGAGCGCAAGCCUUCCAAGCUUGGGGUCGCGGGUUCGAAUCCCGUUUCCCGCU
rfam:Nitrospirae bacterium GWC2_57_9 gwc2_scaffold_4010, whole genome shotgun sequence.